ACAAUGAUACUUCCGUUUCUUCUUUUGAAGGGGCGGCUCGGAGCGAUCCUCGGAGGGGUGAGAGUCCCAUGA
rnacentral:ncRNA from 3 species